UACGUAGGGCGCAAGCGUUGUCCGGAAUUAUUGGGCGUAAAGAGCUCGUAGGCGGUUUGUCGCGUCUGCUGUGAAAACCUAAGGCUCAACCUUGGGCUUGCAGUGGGUACGGGCAGACUAGAGUGCGGUAGGGGUGACUGGAAUUCCUGGUGUAGCAGUGAAAUGCGCAGAUAUCAGGAGGAACACCGAUGGCGAAGGCAGGUCUCUGGGCCAUAACUGACGCUGAGAAGCGAAAGCAUGGGGAGCGAACAGG
rnacentral:rRNA from 1 species